rnacentral:rRNA from 1 species
UGAGUUUGAUCCUGGCUCAGGACGAACGCUGGCGGCGUGCUUAACACAUGCAAGUCGAGCGGAAAGGCCACUUCGGUGGUACUCGAGCGGCGAACGGGUGAGUAACACGUGAGUAAUCUGCCCUUGGCUUCGGGAUAGCCACCGGAAACGGUGAUUAAUACCGGAUAUGACAUUGUCACGCAUGUGGUGGUGUGGAAAGUUUUUCGGCCAGGGAUGUGCUCGCGGCCUAUCAGCUUGAUGGUGAGGUAAUGGCUCACCAUGGCUUCGACGGGUAGCCGGCCUGAGAGGGUGACCGGUCACACUGGGACUGAGACACGGCCCAGACUCCUACGGGAGGCAGCAGUGGGGAAUAUUGGACAAUGGGCGGAAGCCUGAUCCAGCAACGCCGCGUGAGGGAUGACGGCCUUCGGGUUGUAAACCUCUUUCGCCUGUGACGAAGCGCAAGUGACGGUAACAGGUAAAGAAGCACCGGCCAACUACGUGCCAGCAGCCGCGGUAAUACGUAGGGUGCGAGCGUUGUCCGGAAUUAUUGGGCGUAAAGGGCUCGUAGGCGGUUUGUCGCGUCGGGAGUGAAAACCAGGUGCUUAACACCUGGCUUGCUUUCGAUACGGGCAGACUAGAGGUAUUCAGGGGAGAACGGAAUUCCUGGUGUAGCGGUGAAAUGCGCAGAUAUCAGGAGGAACACCGGUGGCGAAGGCGGUUCUCUGGGAAUGACCUGACGCUGAGGAGCGAAAGUGUGGGGAGCGAACAGGAUUAGAUACCCUGGUAGUCCACACCGUAAACGUUGGCGCUAGGUGUGGGGUCAUUCACGGAUUCCGUGCCGCAGCUAACGCAUUAAGCGCCCCGCCUGGGGAGUACGGCCGCAAGGCUAAAACUCAAGGAAUUGACGGGGGCCCGCACAAGCGGCGGAGCAUGCGGAUUAAUUCGAUGCAACGCGAAGAACCUUACCUGGGUUUGACAUACACCCUGCCGCUCCAGAGAUGGGCUCUUUUGGGGGUGUACAGGUGGUGCAUGGCUGUCGUCAGCUAGUGUCGUGAGAUGUUGGGUUAAGUCCCCAACGAGGCGCACUCGUUUAUGUGCCAGCACGUAAUGGUGGGGACUCAUAGGAGACCGCCGGGUCAACUCGGAGGAACGUCGGGAUGACGUCAAGUCAUCAUGCCCCUUAUGUUCAGGCUCCGCUGCGACAAUGGACGGUACAAAGGACGCGCUCCGGUAAGCGGGAGCGAAUCCCACAAAGCCGUCUCAGUUCAGAUUGGGUCUGCAACUCGACCGCACGAAGUCCGAGUAGUUAGUAAUGACAGACACCAGCGCUGCAGUGAAUACGUUCCCGGGCCGAGUGCACACUGACGGUCAGUGGCGAAAAAGAAUCACACUCGCAGCGCCGGCGCAACCCUUAUGGAGGCAGCCGUGGAAGGGAGGGCUCCGACAAGGCGAAGU